AGAGUUUGAUCCUGGCUCAGGAUGAACGCUAGCGGCAGGCCUGACACAUGCAAGUCGAACGGUAAUCCCGUGCUUCGGCGCGGGAACGAGUGGCGAAUGGGUGAGUAACGCGUAUACAACCUUCCGGCGACAGGGGGAUAGCCCGGGGAAACCUGGAUUAACCCCCCAUAAAGUCUCGAGGUAGCAUUAUUUUGAGAUAAAAACACGAGUGGUUGCCGAUGGGUAUACGUCCUAUUAGCCAGUUGGUGGGGUAACGGCCCACCAAGGCAGCGAUAGGUAGGGGUCCUGAGAGGGAGGUCCCCCACACUGGUACUGAGACACGGACCAGACUCCUACGGGAGGCAGCAGUGAGGAAUAUUGGACAAUGGGCGGGAGCCUGAUCCAGCCAUGCCGCGUGCAGGAAGACGGCCUUACGGGUUGUAAACUGCUUUUACAGGGGAAGAACACCCUUCUUGCGAGGGGGGAUGCCGGUACCCUGCGAACAAGGAUCGGCUAACUCCGUGCCAGCAGCCGCGGUAAUACGGAGGAUCCAAGCGUUAUCCGGAAUCAUUGGGUUUAAAGGGUCCGCAGGCGGGCAUUUAAGUCAGUGGUGAAAGUCAUCUGCUCAACGGGUGAACUGCCAUUGAAACUGGAUGUCUUGAGUAGCCGGGAAGUGGUCGGAAUGUGCAGUGUAGCGGUGAAAUGCAUAGAUAUUGCACAGAACACCGAUAGCGAAGGCAGGCCACUACCGGUUUACUGACGCUGAUGGACGAAAGCGUGGUCAGCGAACAGGAUUAGAUACCCUGGUAGUCCACGCCGUAAACGCUGGUCACUAGCUGUCCGUCUUGCUUACGGGCGAGAUGGGUGGUCAAGCGAAAGUGAUAAGUGACCCACCUGGGGAUUACGUUCGCAAGAAUGAAACUCAAAGGAAUUGACGGGGGCCCGCACAAGCGGUGGAGCAUGUGGUUUAAUUCGAUGAUACGCGAGGAACCUUACCAGGGCUUAAAUGCCUAUUGACGAUACCGGGAAACCGGUAUUUUCUUCGGACAAUUUGCAAGGUGCUGCAUGGCUGUCGUCAGCUCGUGCCGUGAGGUGUCAGGUUAAGUCCUAUAACGAGCGCAACCCCUGUUGUUAGUUGCCAAUCUCUUAUGAGGGGGACUCUAGCAAUACUGCCGGUGCAAACCGCGAGGAAGGUGGGGACGACGUCAAGUCAUCACGGCCCUUACGUCCUGGGCUACACACGUGCUACAAUGGUGGGGACAGAGGGAAGCCACUGCGCGAGCAGGCGCGGAUCUUGAAACCCCAUCCCAGUUCGGAUCGCACUCUGCAACCCGAGUGCGUGAAGCUGGAAUCGCUAGUAAUCGCACAUCAGCCAUGGUGCGGUGAAUACGUUCCCGGGCCUUGUACACACCGCCCGUCAAGCCAUGGAAGCCGGGGGUACCUGAAGUCCGCUACCGCGAGGGGCGGCCUAGGGUAAGACCGGUAACUGGGGCUAAGUCGUAACAAGGUAACCA
rnacentral:rRNA from 1 species